UUAACACAUGCAAGUCGAGGGGCAGCAUGGUCUUAGCUUGCUAAGGCCGAUGGCGACCGGCGCACGGGUGAGUAACACGUAUCCAACCUGCCGUCUACUCUUGGACAGCCUUCUGAAAGGAAGAUUAAUACAAGAUGGCAUCAUGAGUCCGCAUGUUCACAUGAUUAAAGGUAUUCCGGUAGACGAUGGGGAUGCGUUCCAUUAGAUAGUAGGCGGGGUAACGGCCCACCUAGUCUUCGAUGGAUAGGGGUUCUGAGAGGAAGGUCCCCCACAUUGGAACUGAGACACGGUCCAAACUCCUACGGGAGGCAGCAGUGAGGAAUAUUGGUCAAUGGGUGAGAGCCUGAACCAGCCAAGUAGCGUGAAGGAUGACUGCCCUAUGGGUUGUAAACUUCUUUUAUAAAGGAAUAAAGUCGGGUAUGGAUACCCGUUUGCAUGUACUUUAUGAAUAAGGAUCGGCUAACUCCGUGCCAGCAGCCGCGGUAAUACGGAGGAUCCGAGCGUUAUCCUGAUUUAUUGGGUUUAAAGGGAGCGUAGAUGGAUGUUUAAGUCAGUUGUGAAAGUUUGCGGCUCAACCGUAAAAUUGCAGUUGAUACUGGAUAUCUUGAGUGCAGUUGAGGCAGGCGGAAUUCGUGGUGUAGCGGUGAAAUGCUUAGAUAUCACGAAGAACUCCGAUUGCGAAGGCAGCCUGCUAAGCUGCAACUGACAUUGAGGCUCGAAAGUGUGGGUAUCAAACAGGAUUAGAUACCCUGGUAGUCCACACGGUAAACGAUGAAUACUCGCUGUUUGCGAUAUACUGCAAGCGGCCAAGCGAAAGCGUUAAGUAUUCCACCUGGGGAGUACGCCGGCAACGGUGAAACUCAAAGGAAUUGACGGGGGCCCGCACAAGCGGAGGAACAUGUGGUUUAAUUCGAUGAUACGCGAGGAACCUUACCCGGGCUUAAAUUGCAGAUGAAUUACGGUGAAAGCCGUAAGCCGCAAGGCAUCUGGGAAGGUGCUGCAUGGUUGUCGUCAGCUCGUGCCGUGAGGUGUCGGCUUAAGUGCCAUAACGAGCGCAACCCUUGUUGUCAGUUACUAACAGGUUCCGCUGAGGACUCUGACAAGACUGCCAUCGUAAGAUGUGAGGAAGGUGGGGAUGACGUCAAAUCAGCACGGCCCUUACGUCCGGGGCUACACACGUGUUACAAUGGGGGGUACAGAGGGCCGCUACCACGCGAGUGGAUGCCAAUCCCCAAAACCUCUCUCAGUUCGGACUGGAGUCUGCAACCCGACUCCACGAAGCUGGAUUCGCUAGUAAUCGCGCAUCAGCCACGGCGCGGUGAAUACGUUCCCGGGCCUUGUACACACCGCCCGUCAAGCCAUGGGAGCCGGGGGUACCUGAAGUGCGUAACCGCGAGGAGCGCCCUAGGGUAAAACUGGUGACUGGGGCUAAGUCA
rnacentral:rRNA from 1 species